AUUUCCUUAGUAUAGCAAUACAGGUGACUUCCAAUCAUCUACCCUUGGUGAAAACCCAAGAGGAAAUA
rnacentral:tRNA from 1 species